rnacentral:lncRNA from 1 species
GCGGCGAGGCUCGGCGUUGGCGCAGGGGCGACGGGGAUCGUCGUCAAUGGGACUCAAGCAUUGGUAAGCCUAGUCAUUGUCGCCACCGCCGUCGUUGUAUGUGUUGUGGGAUGGGACGGGAGGGGAGGCACUGCAGGGGCUGGCGGCGGCAAGUGGGGGAAUGAUGGAGGGAGCGCAUGAUGCAGAGUUGAUGGGUGCGCUCGAUACAGAGACAGGGAGGAAGUCGGUAGUUUUUUUUUUUCUUUUAUCUCGUUGCGUCAGGAUUGCAUGGUAUAUUUGCUAAAGUUUGUACACCAGCGUGGUGGCAUUUAGGAAGUAGGGAUCAGCGUGGUGGCCAAGGAGUUUUUUUUUUCACUCAGACACAUGUUUAGCAGUCUUGACUCUUGAGUGUUCGCUAGUAGAGAACAAACUUUUGGUCUGCAUCGGAUUUUAGCUUGAGUCUUGGCAAUUUUUGCAUUCGAUCCCCUGCCCAACGGCAACAGCAGCUAGCUUUAGCAGGGGUGCCUUCGUCUUUAACAUUAACCAAAACUAAAGAUCAUCCUCUAGUAUCGGUUGGUCUUACAGACCGGGAUUAAAGGUCUAUCUGAUUCUUUUAGACGGUUCGGCUCUACAAACUAGGAAUAAAUGUCCCCACAAUAUAUACAUGAACACGCUCCCCCAACCUAAACAGGUCAUUUUCAAAUCUUUGUUCUCGUGUGUGUGAUAUUGAGGGAGCAAGUUCUUUGUUCUUGAGACAGUACUUCUUCUUGUUCACUUUUCACACUCAUUUCUCACUUUUCUCUCCACGUGUUCUUGUCAUGACUCCUGGAUAUUUUAAUGUUAUAUAUAUUUUUUCUUUUCCAUGUUCUAUAUGGAUUCUACAAUUUUUUGGGGACAUUUUACUUUGAGCAUUGUUAAUAUGCAUUCUAUAUUUAUGUUGAAAUUCUUUGGAGUUUAUUAGGUUUUUUGAAUUGACCUCCACGGCCACGCCCAAUAGGUUACCAUCUUGGCAAUGAGUCAUUUGCUCCAGAGCUUGCCAUUCUAGACUUCCCUAAUCCAGCUAUUGUACAAAAAUAUUUUUCGAACCUUUUAGUGCGGUUUCAUAAAAUGUAUGCAUUCAUUGAAAUAAUAUAUUCCAUAUUUGUGUUACAAUUUAUCGACCCGUUAGAGUGGGUACAGUCAACACUUUCCUUGUUCAAUUUGUUAGACAUACGUUGAGAACACAACCUCUGAUGCAGAGCGGUCAGUUAUGGAUAUGUGAACUUAGCUUUCGCAUCCAUACUGUUGAAAUAUGUGAUCAUGGAUAUACACUGGUUGUUAUCAUUGACGUUGGAUUGCUCCUCAAGGAUGUUAGUUGCAGGCUCCGGUUGUUAAUAUCUUCAGGUUGUUGUAAUCUUAUGAUAGAAGCUAGAUUAGAUAUGGAUGUAAUCUGCUUGUUUGUUAUUGACUUGUUGUACAAGAGUUGUAA